UACGAGGGGGGCAAGCGUUGUUCGGAAUUAUUGGGCGUAAAGGGCGCGUAGGCGGUUUGACAAGUCUGAUGUGAAAUCUAUGGGCUCAACCCAUAGCCUGCAUUAGAAACUGCCGGGCUUGAGUAUGGGAGAGGUGAGUGGAAUUUCCGGUGUAGCGGUGAAAUGCGUAGAUAUCGGAAGGAACACCUGUGGCGAAAGCGGCUCACUGGACCAUAACUGACGCUGAGGCGCGAAAGCUAGGGGAGCAAACAGG
rnacentral:rRNA from 1 species